GCUAAUACAUGCAAGUCGAGCGGACAGAUGGGAGCUUGCUCCCUGAUGUUAGCGGCGGACGGGUGAGUAACACGUGGGUAACCUGCCUGUAAGACUGGGAUAACUCCGGGAAACCGGGGCUAAUACCGGAUGGUUGUUUGAACCGCAUGGUUCAGACAUAAAAGGUGGCUUCGGCUACCACUUACAGAUGGACCCGCGGCGCAUUAGCUAGUUGGUGAGGUAACGGCUCACCAAGGCGACGAUGCGUAGCCGACCUGAGAGGGUGAUCGGCCACACUGGGACUGAGACACGGCCCAGACUCCUACGGGAGGCAGCAGUAGGGAAUCUUCCGCAAUGGACGAAAGUCUGACGGAGCAACGCCGCGUGAGUGAUGAAGGUUUUCGGAUCGUAAAGCUCUGUUGUUAGGGAAGAACAAGUGCCGUUCAAAUAGGGCGGCACCUUGACGGUACCUAACCAGAAAGCCACGGCUAACUACGUGCCAGCAGCCGCGAGUAAUACAAAAA
rnacentral:rRNA from 1 species